rnacentral:lncRNA from 1 species
CCUUAGUAUUGAUAAUAAACUAUUACAAAAGUAAAAGUUGAUUUUCUCUUGAACAAUAAUUUUAUUUAUUUAUUAUUAUGACAGCCAAAUACUUCUGUUCACCUUUUGAAUACAUUCAAAAAGAGAGAGAGUAAAAAAGAGAGUAUUUUCCCAUGCUCGGGGGUGUGCCUGGCUCAGCUCAGGCAGGAAGCCCUGCCUGAAAAGGCCACAGGUGGCCGGGCGCGGUGGCUCACGUCUGUAAUCCCAGCACUUUGGGAGGCCGAGGCGGGUGGAUCACCUGAGGUCGGAAGUUCGAGACCAGCCUGACCAACAUGAAGAAACCCUGUCUAAACUAAAAAUACAAAAUUAACCAGGCGUGGUGGCUCAUGCCUGUAAUCCCAGCUACCAGGGAGGCUGAGGCAGGAGAAUCGCUUGAACCCGGGAGGCGGAGGUUGUGGUGAGCCGAGAUUGCGCCAUUGCACUCCAGCCUGGGGCAAGGAGAGCGAAACUCCGUCUCAAAAAAAAAAAAAAGAAGGCCACAACUUAGGCUGUCACUCUUUCUUCACUGAGCGCCAAGUCGCAGGGCCUGAGGAGCAGGGCCUUAAGCAUUAUCCAAUCAGGGACGCUGGGCUGGAAACUCGUCCAAUCAGGCACGCAGCUGGAGCGAAGAGGCCGGCUUCUGGGUUUGGCGCGGCAUUUGUUUCUCGCUGCAGCUGGAGCUUCGGGUCUUGUCUCCAGUGCUCUGUGUCCUCAGCUCCUAGAGGCCCAGCCUCUGUGGCCCUGUUACCUUCAUGUAUUGGAAGAUCCACAGUUAAGACGCCAGGACCCCCUGGAAACCAAAAAUGAAGCCUUAUUAGUAUCCCUCGGUGUCUGAAUGAGGUGGGCUGUCACAGUGAGAACUUUUGGAGUUAUCUCUAUCUGGACUCAUGUUGGAAAUUCAGCAACAUUUUUUCCAUGUCACCAUUAUAAGCACAAACUGAGACGGAAACACUGCUCUCAGUUUCAUUAUUGUGAAGGUGUAAUUCUACCCAGGAGGCCUGCAGGCUCUCCUCCUGCAGCUCAGGCUUCACUCUGAUGUGACACUAGAGUGCUGCUGUGGCAAAUGUAGUUCACAUAAAAUGUGAGCUGUGCUCUGGGCUGUGCCAGACGGAAGAAGUCGAGAGGACACCAGCAACCAGGAGAAAGCAAGCAGGAGUGCUGGAGCCCAGUGCCAGUGAGUACAGAGCCACUGCUCUAAAAUGUAAAUAAUCAAAAGAUCCAACCCUUUGCAACCAUUUUUGUAGCAGAGUGAAAGCCUAGCUUCAGCAGACACCUGGUUUGAAGCUGCUGAACUACCUCCUGUUAUGAAGAUGUGAAGUUUAUUUGUCAUUGAAUAUAAGGAAUUCGCAUACACAGAUGGCCUCUUCAAUCUCCAGGUGAUUUUAGGAUGAACUAUGUAUGACAUGGUGCUGGAAAUUCUACUUACGGAUUAAUUAUGGUGACCAUCUUUCCGCCUUUGUU